GAAGAAGAGGAGACGGAUUUAUGGGGCGAUCAGCAGUAUGCACUCAGAGAAAGAAAUCCCUCCGAGAGAUGUCCCCGUCCUCUGUAUUCCCAGGACUGUCCAGAGGAGAAGCUCCCAGAGAACCAUCAGAUGACAAAUCA